CAGUGACAAUUUUUAUUUGUAAUGAACCGUUUCUCUUUCUUACCUGUCACUGCCUGUACAAAUUACAAUAAUCUCAAUUCUUAGCCGUGAGGCAUUAUAAAAACGCCAUAAACCCAAAGAACCUUAAUCAAAAUCUUAGCAUAGCAUAACAAACACUCUACUUCUCCUCUCCCCCCACCCCCCACCCCCGAAAACACCCCCGCAACAUUUUAUUUUCUUGCCCCAGUUAAGAAUCUUGGUUUUUGAUUAGAUUAGAUUAGUGCUGUUUGAAGAGUUGUUGUUAAGCAUGAUGAGAUGGGAAAAGGUGGCUGUACAUGGAAGUGGUGGGCCUGGAAAAAGGUGGGGCCACACCUGUAACGCUGUACAAGGUGGUAGGCUUCUCUAUGUUUCUGGUGGUUAUGGCAUAGACAACAGACAUACCAACAAAGUUCAUGUCUUUGACACUGUUAAUAGAAUGUGAAGCGAGCCAGUGAUGAAGGGAACAUUGCCCACCAAGGGACAGCUACAGUUGUAUAGUUAUCCACCAAGCCAGUACAGCAUGUACCUUCAGUAAAGGAUUCACGAGUCAUUUGUUGCAAAAGCAUUCUCCUUAGAGACCUUAGCACCACAAUCUACUGCAUCACUCACCCUACCGCUUUCCAAAUUCACAGCAUGUAUUCUAGAUGACUUUGAGACGUCAUGAACCUGCUAUAGAGGUACUUAAUCAGAAAUCAUCUCAAAGUGAAAGUUCAGAAAUAACUAACUUCACUAAAGGAUUGUGGUGUUACUUUCAGAUUGGUUAUUUGUGAACUUUCACUUUGAGGUGAUUUCUUAUUAAGUGCCUCUAUAGCAGGUUCAUGAAGUCUCAAAGUCAUCUAGAAUACAUGCUGUGAAUUUGGAAAGCGGUAGGGUGAGUGAUGCAGUAGAUUGUGGUGCUAAGGUCUCUAAGGAGAAUGCUUUUGCAAUAAAUGACUCGUGAUCCUUUACUGAAGGUACAUGUUGUACUGGCCUGGGGGAUUUCUCGGUUCUAAAAGAAGUGUUAUACAAUUUUUUGAAGUCAGAAAAAUACCAUCCUAGUCCUGCGCUGUUACUUUCAGACUUCAUAUAUAGUAAAAGGCAAAACAUUACUGAUUUUACUUGUAUCUUGUUUUGACCAAUUGUGAUUUGCAUAUGAAAUUAUUCUUUCAGACGCUUAGUUUACUGAAGGAACUGUUGAUGAUUAGUUCGAAGUCUUUGACCUGUAUAAAAUCCAGAGCAAUGUUCUUUUUAUUUGAA